rnacentral:tRNA from 1 species
GCGCCCGUAGCUCAGCUGGAUAGAGCGACUGACUUCGAAUCAGUAGGUCGGGGGUUCGAGCCCCUCCGGGCGCGCCA